rnacentral:rRNA from 1 species
CCAGACUCCUACGGGAGGCAGCAGUGAGGAAUAUUGGUCAAUGGCCGGAAGGCUGAACCAGCCAAGCCGCGUGAAGGACGAAGGUGACAAGCAUUGUAAACUUCUUUUGUCAAGGGACAAAAUCAGGCUCGAGAGCCUGACCGAGGGUACUUGAAGAAAAAGCAUCGGCUAACUCCGUGCCAGCAGCCGCGGUAAUACGGAGGAUGCGAGCGUUAUCGGGAUUUAUUGGGUUUAAAGGGUGCGUAGGCGGAUUGUAAAGUCGGGGUUAAAGGCCGGGGGCCAACCCCCGGCGAGCCGUUGAAACUGGUUUUCUUGAGUGAGCGAGAAGUAUGCGGAAUGCGUGGUGUAGCGGUGAAAUGCAUAGAUAUCACGCAGAACUCCGAUUGCGAAGGCAGCAUACCGGCGCUCAACUGACGCUCAUGCACGAAAGUGUGGGUAUCGAACAGGAUUAGAUACCCUGGUAC